AGUGAACGCUGGCGGUAGGCCUAACACAUGCAAGUCGAACGGCAGCACAGUAAGAGCUUGCUCUUACGGGUGGCGAGUGGCGGACGGGUGAGGAAUACAUCGGAAUCUACUUUUUCGUGGGGGAUAACGUAGGGAAACUUACGCUAAUACCGCAUACGACCUACGGGUGAAAGCAGGGGAUCUUCGGACCUUGCGCGAUUGAAUGAGCCGAUGUCGGAUUAGCUAGUUGGCGGGGUAAAGGCCCACCAAGGCGACGAUCCGUAGCUGGUCUGAGAGGAUGAUCAGCCACCCUGGAACUGAGCCACGGUCCAGACUCCUACGGGAGGCAGCAGUGGGGAAUAUUGGACAAUGGGCGCAAGCCUGAUCCAGCCAUCCCGCGUGGGUGAAGAAGGCCUUCGGGUUGUAAAGCCCUUUUGUUGGGAAAGAAAAGCAGCAGGUUAAUACCCCGCUGUUCUGACGGUACCCAAAGAAUAAGCACCGGCUAACUUCGUG
rnacentral:rRNA from 1 species